GUCUACGGCCAUGCCACCCUGAACAAGCCUGAUCCCAUCUGAUCUCAGAAGCUAAGCAGGGUUGGGCCUGGUUAAUACUUGGAUGGGAGAACACCUAGGAAGACCAGGUGCUGUAGGUG
rnacentral:rRNA from 1 species